GCAAGCAAUUUUCCAAGCUCUUCAUCAUUCCUCACUGCCAACAACAAAUGUCUUGGACUAAUCCUGUUCUUCUUGUUAUCACGUGCCGCAUUUCCAGCCAACUCAAGAACCUUCACGCAAACAAAUUUCAAAAUUAGGGUUCAGAUUCAAUUUACAAAGUUCAAACUCCAUAGCAAUGAAAAAACGAAACUGAAAAGGAAAGAUGAGUUAAUUUACCUCAGCAGCAAGAUACUCGAGAACAGCGGCUAGGUAAACAGGAGCACCAGUACCAACGCGCUGAGCAUAUCUACCUUUCUUCAAGAAACGGCCGACUCUUCCGACGGGAAAUUGAAGUCCAGCUCUGACGGAUCUUGUGACGGACUUCUUCCUUGGUCCUCCUCCUUUCCUUCCGGCAGCUCCCACCAUUUUGAAAUUCAAAAA